GACGUAGGGCGCGAGCGUUGUCCGGAUUUAUUGGGCGUAAAGAGCUCGUAGGCGGCUUGUCGCGUCGAAUGUGAAAACCCACAGCUCAACUGUGGGCUUGCAUUCGAUACGGGCAGGCUAGAGUUCGGUAGGGGAGACUGGAAUUCCUGGUGUAGCGGUGAAAUGCGCAGAUAUCAGGAAGAACACCCGUGGCUAAGGCGGCUCUCUAGUACGGUACUGACGCUGAGACGCGAAAGCGUGGGGAGCGAACAGG
rnacentral:rRNA from 1 species